UACGAAGGGGGCUAGCGUUGCUCGGAAUCACUGGGCGUAAAGGGCGCGUAGGCGGCCGGCCAAGUCGGGGGUGAAAGCCCGGGGCUCAACCUCGGAAUUGCCUUCGAUACUGGACAUCUUGAGUACGGGAGAGGUGAGUGGAACUCCGGGUGUAGAGGUGAAAUUCGUAGAUAUUCGGAAGAACACCAGUGGCGAAGGCGACUCACUGGCCCGUUACUGACGCUGAGGCGCGAAAGCGAGGGGAGCAAACAGG
rnacentral:rRNA from 1 species